UUGGAGGGCAAGUCUGGUGCCAGCAGCCGCGGUAAUUCCAGCUCCAAUAGCGUAUAUUAAAGUUGUUGCAGUUAAAAAGCUCGUAGUUGAAUUUCGGGAAUGGCACAUCGGUCGUGCCUUAAGGGGCAUGAACUGGUGUAGCCAAUUUCUCACCUUCUGGAGAACCGCGAUGUCCUUGAUUGGGUGCCGCGAGGAACCAGGACCUUUACUUUGAAAAAAUUAGAGUGUUUAAAGCAGGCAUUUUGCUUGAAUACAUUAGCAUGGAAUAAUAAAAUAGGACGGAUGAUUCUAUUUUGUUGGUCUCUAAGACCACCGUAAUGAUUAAUAGGGAUAGUUGGGGGCAUUAGUAUUCAAUUGUCAGAGGUGAAAUUCUUGGAUUUAUUGAAGACUAACUACUGCGAAAGCAUUUGCCAAGGAUGUUUUCAUUAAUCAAGAACGAAAGUUAGGGGAUCGAAGACGAUCAGAUACCGUCGUAGUCUUAACCAUAAACUAUGCCGACUAGGAAUCAGACGAUGUUAAUUUUUUAAUGACUCGUUUGGCACCUUACGGGAAACCAAAGUGUUUGGGUUC
rnacentral:rRNA from 1 species